rnacentral:misc_RNA from 1 species
AAAAAGGAAGCUGAUUCUGUUCAUUAGCUCCGUCUAGGGUUUUUAUACACUUGGGUACCAUUUUCAUUACAGUAGAAAGUUUCUCUCUAAAACUACUUGAAGCAAUCAGACUGCUUCCAGAAAUUUGAAUCGCCAUCAGCUUUUUGGGAACUCUUCCAGUGUCAUUCUUCAUUUUGGGAUGGGGGACGCGGACUCUCUUCAACCAUCAAAGAAAA